GGGCUGAGAGGUUCUGUAGAGCUGUCUGUCUGGGCUGAGAGGGUCUGUGGAGGUGUCUGUCUGGGCUGAGAGGUUCUGUGGAGCUGUCUGUCUGGGCUGAGAGGUUCUGUGGAGGUGUCUGUCUGGCUGAGAGGUUCUGUGGAGUUGUCUGUCUGGGCUGAGAGGUUCUGUGGAGCUGUGUGUCUGGGCUGAGAGGUUCUGUGGAGCUGUCUGUCUGGGCUGAGAGGUUCUGUAGAGCUGUCUGUCUGGGCUGAGAGGUUCUGUGGAGGUGUCUGUCUGGGCUGAGAGGUUCUGUGGAGCUGUCUGUCUGGGCUGAGAGGUUCUGUGGAGCUGUCUGUCUGGGCUGAGAGGUUCUGUGGAGCUGUCUGUCUGGGCUGAGAGGUUCUGUGGAGUUGUCUGUCUGGGCUGAGAGGUUCUGUGGGGUUGUCUGUCUG
ensembl:lncRNA